GGGUUGUGAGGUUAAGCGACUAAGCGUACACGGUGGAUGCCCUGGCAGUCAGAGGCGAUGAAGGACGUGCUAAUCUGCGAUAAGCGUCGGUGAGGUGAUAUGAACCGUUAUAACCGGCGAUUUCCGAAUGGGGAAACCCAGUGUGUUUCGACACACUAUCAUUAACUGAAUCCAUAGGUUAAUGAGGCGAACCGGGGGAACUGAAACAUCUAAGUACCCCGAGGAAAAGAAAUCAACCGAGAUUCCCCCAGUAGCGGCGAGCGAACGGGGAGGAGCCCAGAGCCUGAAUCAGUGUGUGUGUUAGUGGAAGCGUCUGGAAAGGCGCGCGAUACAGGGUGACAGCCCCGUACACAAAAAUACACAUAUUGUGAGCUCGAUGAGUAGGGCGGGACACGUGGUAUCCUGUCUGAAUAUGGGGGGACCAUCCUCCAAGGCUAAAUACUCCUGACUGACCGAUAGUGAACCAGUACCGUGAGGGAAAGGCGA
rnacentral:rRNA from 1 species